GCUUCAGUAUUCACUGUUGCCCUCCCAAUACUUUCUGUCUCUCUUCCUUAAUCCUCACUCCCCCUUUCUGGACCAUUCGACUCGUCAGCAGGCUCCGAAAGAUUGGGGCCCGGACAGGGGGCUGAAAACAGGGGACCCAGUGAAGGACACCGCGGAUUACAAAGGUGUACACGAAGAGAUUAGUGUGCGAUUCCGGAACUGAGUGGUUGCCAACCCAACUUCUGAAACGGAGAGAUGGCUAAGAAGUACUGCACUCAGAAGUUUCUGCAAGAGUUUAAAAAUUUUCCCAUUUCCUUUUGCUGAAGAAGGCAAGCAUAUUAAUAAUUAUAGCUUGGGGAUGAGGGGCUCCCUAUUUUCCAAGGAUAUGGUUCUCAUUGUUUAUCUUAUUCACAUAAGGUUUGGGGAGUUAGGUAUAAUCAUUCUUCUUUUGCAGCAACUACAGUUCUUAACUUCAUAUUAAUGCUACUCGGUAUAUUCAAGCCUGUGUGAAAAUUCCUUAUGUUAUUUUAUCAGGAGAUAUUACUUGGAAUUCUAGUACAGGGGUUAUGACUUGUUCUUCAAAUUGUACUUUACAACAUUGUGUAAAUUUUACCUGGUGGAAAACUUUUAACCAAACCCGAGAGUUUAUAUCUUGUUAAAGCAAGUCCUGAGAUUUGGUUACCUGUCAAUUUAAUUCGACCCUGGAGCGAAUCUGCGAGAGUAAUGCAGAUCUACAAUGCCUUGACUUAAUUGAUCCAUCGAAUGAAGAGAAUGAUUGGACUGAUAAUAGCCACAGUGAUUGCACUUGUAGCUGUAGCAACUACUGCAGGAGUGGCGGGAGUUGCUUUGCAGCAAGAAAUACAAACAGCAGACUUUGUUCGAGGGUGGCAUAGAGAUUCUCAUCUGUUGUGGCAACAACAACAUGACAUUGAUACUCAAAUAGCUGAAGACAUCGCCAACUUACAACAAACAAUGUUGUGGAUUGGGAGAUCAGAUAUCUGUGUUAGCUACUCAAGUUAUGCUUCGAUGUGAUUGGAACACCUCUCAUUUUUGGACUACUCCUGUUCUGUGUAACGUUAGUAAGGAUUGGAAAGAUUAGAAAUUUAUUAAUUGGACAUAAAAAUGUAUCUUUAGAAAUUCAGUUAUUGGAAUAUCAAAUUGGUGAAACUUUCAGUAGACAAUUACCCAAACUUACUGUCUUCUAUUAACCCUUUGGAACAAGCAAAAGCUUUAUUAUCUUUAACCAUUGGUAGUGUUAUUCUAUUAAUCAUUAAGGUUAUGGUUGAAUUAUUGGCCUUAAGUACAAAGUUACAUGAAGUACACCUGCAUACUUCGCCCCCUCCCCAAACAGGGGUAUAAGGCAGAGGCUGGUUAGUCAGAGGCGGGUAAGAUUGAGUCCGAGUCUCUCAACCUAAGACAGGUCAUAGUCGCCUGGAGGACUGUGGCUGAUGACGGGUAAGAGUGAUUUCAGGACUCGACAACCUAAAACAGGCACAGUCAUCUGCCGACGUUUUGAGUAAAAACGACUUUAGUGAAUAAAAAAGGGGGAGCUGUUGAAGGCCAUUAAGACUCAGCCUUGAAACGGCUGAGAAGAUAUAAACCCAGGUGUCAUAUCUGCUGUUUGCUUCUGCGGCUUGAGACCAAGAAAAAGAACAAGGACGAAAGCGAGUUCUGGGAAAUCAGGAUGAUUAACUUUCUCAAGGAUGCUUGGUCUGGAAAAACAUAGAGUUGUUGUGUAUGCAAUGUGCUUGCUUAACACUGAGAAAAAUAUAACCCCGGGUUGUUUCUGCAUGUAUAAAAGGAAGAUGUAGAAUAAACUCGGGGCUUCAAUAUUCAA